CCUACGGGUGGCAGCAGUGAGGAAUAUUGGUCAAUGGACGAGAGUCUGAACCAGCCAAGUAGCGUGAAGGAUGACUGCCCUAUGGGUUGUAAACUUCUUUUAUAUGGGAAUAAAACGUUCCACGUGUGGGAUUUUGUAUGUACCAUAUGAAUAAGGAUCGGCUAACUCCGUGCCAGCAGCCGCGGUAAUACGGAGGAUCCGAGCGUUAUCCGGAUUUAUUGGGUUUAAAGGGAGCGUAGGUGGAUUGUUAAGUCAGUUGUGAAAGUUUGGGGCUCAACCGUAAAAUUGCAGUUGAAACUGGCAGUCUUGAGUACAGUAGAGGUGGGCGGAAUGCGUGGUGUAGCGGUGAAAUGCUUAGAGAUCACGAAGAACUCCGAUUGCGAAGGCAGUUCACUGGACUGCAACUGACACUGAGGCUCGAAAGUGUGGGUAUCAAACAGGAUUAGAUACCCUGGUAGUC
rnacentral:rRNA from 1 species